rnacentral:pre_miRNA from 1 species
AGGAAAGUGCAGGAUCCUGGCCGGUGUUCCCCGGCACCCUGGGAUCUGGGGCCUGUGCCGCUGGAAUCGCGGUUCCGGGCCACGCAGCCCCCU